rnacentral:rRNA from 1 species
UAGCAAGUCGACCAAAGGCGAAAGCAGUCAUCAAGGGCACGCCCGUUGAUCAAGAGCGAAAGUUAAGGGUUCGAAGACGAUCAGAUACCGUCGUAGUCUUAACUAUAAAUGAUGCAAACCAGGGAUAGGACACUGUCCAUCUCGACUCUUUCUGGAUCUUAGAGAAAUCACAGUCUUUGGGUUCUGGGGGGAGUAUGGUCGCAAGGCUGAAACUUAAAGGAAUUGACGGAAGGGCACACAAAGAGUGGAACCUGCGGCUUAAUUUGACUCAACACGGGAAAACUCACCAGGUCCGGAUACACGUAUGAAAGUCAAGCUGAAAGACUUUACUCAAUGAUGUAAGUGGUGGUGCAUGGUCGUUCUUAGUUCGUGGAUUGAUUUGUCUGGUCGAUUCCGAUAACGAGCGAGACCCCGGUGUUCCUAAUAGGGGCAGAAGCCCGGCGGACCGCCUAAGAGGUCUGUCAGCUGCUGCUUAAGAAAAGCUUCUUAGACACAUCAGGGCCGAUAAGGUUCUUGAAAUGGGUUAAUAACAGGUCAGUCAUGCCCUUAGAUGUUCUGGGCCGCACGCGCGUUACAAUGGCGAGGAAAGAAAGUGCUCCGAAAAGGCGUUUCCUGGGCCUAACGGUCUGGGUAACCCUUAGUCCCUGCUUUGACUGGGAUAGAUCAUUGCAAUUAUUGGUCUCCAACGAGGAAUUUUUAGUAAGCACAGGUCAUUAACCUGUGCUUAAUGCGUCCCUGCCCUUUGUACACACCGCC